rnacentral:tmRNA from 1 species
GGGGUUGUACUGGUUUCGACGGGGAUUUUGAAGUUAGAGAAGCCAUCCGCGGGCCGGGACCGCGCAGUAAUCCGGAAUUAAAUAUAAACGCAAACGAUAAUUUUGCAUACGCUGCCUAAUGGCAGCUGUCGACCUUAAGUCGCUCACUGCUUAAGAGUUCGGCAUCGACCUGGUGAGGCACUUCGCUCCCUAAGCUUUGCGGGAGUGGAAGAAUCAUGAAGCUACUGAAGUGGAAAGCCCGUCUUUAGGCGUUCCAUGGAGGGAAUGGCGAAAGCAUAAAAUGAAGACUGUGAUGGGAGAUACUCUGAUGGAAGGGUUUUCGGACAGGGGUUCGAUUCCCCUCAGCUCCAUAU